GACGAACGCUGGCGGCGUGCUUAACACAUGCAAGUCGAACGGAAAGGCCCUGCUUUUGUGGGGUGCUCGAGUGGCGAACGGGUGAGUAACACGUGAGUAACCUGCCCUUGACUUUGGGAUAACUUCAGGAAACUGGGGCUAAUACCGGAUAGGAGCUCCUGCUGCAUGGUGGGGGUUGGAAAGUUUCGGCGGUUGGGGAUGGACUCGCGGCUUAUCAGCUUGUUGGUGGGGUAGUGGCUUACCAAGGCUUUGACGGGUAGCCGGCCUGAGAGGGUGACCGGCCACCAGGGAACGGAGACAGGGUCCAGACUCCUGCGGGAGGCAGCAGUGGGGAAGGGUGGACAAUGGGCGGAAGCCUGAUCGAGCCAUACCGCGUGGGUGAAGAAGGCCUGCGGGGUGUAAAGCUCUGUUGGUGGGAAAGAAAAGCAGCAGGAGAAUACCCCGCUGGGAUGACGGUACCCAAAGAAGAAGCACCGGCUAGCUUCGUG
rnacentral:rRNA from 1 species